rnacentral:rRNA from 1 species
GAUGAACGCUGGCGGCGUGCUUAACACAUGCAAGUCGAACGGUGAAGCAGGAGCUUGCUCUUGUGGAUCAGUGGCGAACGGGUGAGUAACACGUGAGCAACCUGCCCCUGACUCUGGGAUAAGCGCUGGAAACGGCGUAUAAUACUGGAUAUGUGGCGUGACCGCAUGGUCUGCCUCUGGAAAGAAUUUCGGUUGGGGAUGGGCUCGCGGCCUAUCAGCUUGUUGGUGAGGUAAUGGCUCACCAAGGCGUCGACGGGUAGCCGGCCUGAGAGGGUGACCGGCCACACUGGGACUGGGACACGGCCCAGACUCCUACGGGAGGCAGCAGUGGGGAAUAUUGCACAAUGGGCGGAAGCCUGAUGCAGCAACGCCGCGUGAGGGAUGACGGCCUUCGGGUUGUAAACCUCUUUUAGCAGGGAAGAAGCGAAAGUGACGGUACCUGCAGAAAAAGCACCGGCUAACUACGUGCCAGCCGCCGCCGUAA